UCUUGACUAGUAUAUCGGUUAGUACACGCGCUUGUCAUUUGAUUACUGCAAUAAAUAGCCGCGCGAAAGCUGGGUUCGACUCCCAGGUCGAGAG